rnacentral:rRNA from 1 species
AAUUUUGGACAAUGGGGGAAACCCUGAUCCAGCCAUCCCGCGUGUAUGAUGAAGGCCUUCGGGUUGUAAAGUACUUUUGGCAGAGAAGAAAAGGUAUCUCCUAAUACGAGAUACUGCUGACGGUAUCUGCAGAAUAAGCACCGGCUAACUACGUGCCAGCAGCCGCGGUAAUACGUAGGGUGCAAGCGUUAAUCGGAAUUACUGGGCGUAAAGCCGGUGUAAGCGGUUCGGAAAGAAAAAUGUUAAAACCCAGGGGUUAACCCUGGAACUGCAUUUUUAACCGCCCAGCUAGAGUAUGGUAGAGGGGGGGAAAAUUCCACGUUGAGCCGUGAAAUGCCUAGAUAUGUGGGAGAAUUCCCAAUGCGAAGGCAGCCCCCCGGGGUAAUACUGACGCUCCAACCCGAAAGCGUUGGGAGCAAACA